CAGCCGCGUAAUUCCAGCUCCAAUAGCGUAUAUUAGUGUUGUUGCGGUUAAAAAGCUCGUAGUUGAAUUUCGGGAUUGGGAUAUAUCGGUCGUGCCUUUAGGGGCAUGAAUCGGUGUGUGGCCAAUUCUCACCUUCUGGUGAAUUGGGAUGCUCUCGGGUGUUUCAAUGAACUAGGACUUUUACUUUGAAAAAAUUAGAGUGUUUAAAGCGGGCAUUUUUGCUUGAAUACGUUAGCAUGGAAUAAUAAAAUAGGACGAUGGUUCUAUUUUGUUGGUUUUAGGACCACGUAAUGAUUAAUAGGGAUAGUUGGGGGCAUUAGUAUUCAAUUGUCAGAGGUGAAAUUCUUGGAUUUAUUGAGGACUAACUACUGCGAAAGCAUUUGCCAAGGAUGUUUUCAUUAAUCAAGAACGAAAGUUAGGGGAUCAAAGAUGAUUUAUGUACGUCGUAGUCUUAACCAUAAACUAUGCCGACUAGGAAUCAGACAAAGUUAAUUUUUUAACGACUUGUUUGGUACCUUACG
rnacentral:misc_RNA from 1 species